AGAGCGAACGCUGGCGGCAGGCUUAACACAUGCAAGUCGAGCGGGCGUAGCAAUACGUCAGCGGCAGACGGGUGAGUAACGCGUGGGAACAUACCUUUUGGUUCGGAACAACACAGGGAAACUUGUGCUAAUACCGGAUAAGCCCUUACGGGGAAAGAUUUAUCGCCGAAAGAUUGGCCCGCGUCUGAUUAGCUAGUUGGUGAGGUAACGGCUCACCAAGGCGACGAUCAGUAGCUGGUCUGAGAGGAUGAUCAGCCACAUUGGGACUGAGACACGGCCCAAACUCCUACGGGAGGCAGCAGUGGGGAAUAUUGGACAAUGGGCGCAAGCCUGAUCCAGCCAUGCCGCGUGAGUGAUGAAGGCCCUAGGGUUGUAAAGCUCUUUUGUGCGGGAAGAUAAUGACGGUACCGCAAGAAUAACGGCCCCGGACUAACUUCGCGCCAGCAGCCGC
rnacentral:rRNA from 1 species